GCAGUGUUGGCGGUAGAUCCAACGGCAGUGAAUGAGAGAUGCAUGCGUAUUGCGUCCACUGAAAACAGUUCACCGUCUUGCAAUUUCCAAGUUUUCAGCAGCCUCCACGUCUUUCUAAUCCCACACUCCUCGCGAUGAAUCCAAGCAUUAAUCAAUAAUCGCGCCACAAACAAGUAUUUCCCCAAACCAAAACAAACUCUGAUUUUGAUCUUCACUCUACACAUUUUUACCAAACAAGCAGCAAAACAUAACCAAUUUUUUGAACCCCAGUGGAAGAUUUUCAGCUUUUGUCGCUGAAAUCCCCCAUCCCAUCGUCCAAUCAAGCUGUUACUCUAAUGCUGCCUCUGCAAAUUCACUGCUUUUCUCCGUGAAGUUCGACCCAUAAACCCCCUUCCCUUCCUGCUCGAUUCGGGGUUUUUGUAGCUUCGUUUGUUCUCGUUUACUUGAUAAAAAUGGCUACUAUUUCAACUUACCACCCAAAUUUUGUGUUCUCUCGUUUUCCGGACCGUGUUCCGACCCCGAAUCCUCUCUUUUGUGGAGUCCAAUUCCGGGGUUUAUCCCACCAUAAGCCUUUCCUUCGCGGCUCCCUUGCGGUGGCAAGAUUCGGGUUUAAACCCGAGUUCUUGCCUGACCCGGAUAACGCCGAGGGCUUUGUGAGGGAGUUGUUCGGCAAAGCCGAGACCGUUCUUUACACGAUUGCGGACGCCGCCGUGUCUGCUUCGCCGGAGAAUGUAACCACCGCCAAGCAGACUGAAGAUUGGUUUACGGGGAUUACCAAUUAUAUGGAGACCGUCCUUAAAAUUCUCAAGGAUGGACUUUCUGGUCUACAUGUUCCUUAUGCCUAUGGUUUUGCCAUUAUACUCCUUACUGUUCUUGUUAAAGCUGCCACUUUUCCUUUGACGAAGAAACAGGUCGAAUCAGCAAUGGCGAUGCGUUCUUUACAACCGCAAGUAAAGCUUGUUCAACAACGCUAUGCUGGGGAUCAGGAGAGGAUUCAACUUGAAACUGCUCGACUUUACAAAACAGCUGGCAUAAACCCACUGGCAGGAUGCCUACCCACAUUGGCCACAAUUCCUGUAUGGAUUGGACUAUACAGAGCUCUAUCUAAUGUGGCCAACGAGGGUCUCCUUACGGAAGGUUUUUUCUGGAUACCAUCUCUAGCUGGUCCAACUACGAUUGCUUCUCGACAAAAUGGCAGCGGUAUCUCUUGGCUCUUUCCAUUUGUUGAUGGUCAUCCACCCCUUGGGUGGUCAGAUACCUUGGCGUAUCUCGUCUUGCCUGUGUUGCUGGUUGUCUCGCAGUACAUCUCUGUUCAAAUUAUGCAAUCGUCACAGCCACAGAGCAAUGAUCCAAGUAUGAAGAGUUCUCAAGCCAUAACAAAGUUCCUACCGUUAAUGAUUGGAUAUUUUGCACUUUCAGUUCCUUCUGGUUUAAGUCUUUAUUGGUUCACCAAUAAUAUCUUGAGCACAGCUCAGCAAGUAUGGCUUCAAAAGUUAGGCGGCGCAAAAUUCCCAGACAAACAGUUCAGCGAUGAAAUCUUCAAAGUAGAACAACAAGUCCAGAGCAAGGAUCCUGAGUUAAACUCAGUCUCAAGGAGCACAGUAGCCCAACAAGCAGAGAAGCUGACAGCAGAAGGGCUAAAACCUGGUGAAAGGUUUAAACGGAUAAAGGAGCAAGAGGCUAGGUUAAGGCAGCAAAGAGAAGAAGAAGGAAGGAAAGCUGAAGAGGCAGCCAAGCUAGAAUCUCAGACAAUAAAUGACAGUGACAAGAGCGAAGAACUCCAGUCAGAAUCUAGUAGCAAAUCUACGACUGUCGUAGUUGUUGCCAAUGGCGGUGUUUCUAGACAAGACGUUAAGGAAGAUCAGAACUCCACAUCCAUGGCUACUAUGCAAAGAAAUGAUGUCGAUGACGAGGUUGCCAGUAUAAGCCAGCAGGUGCAAACUCAGGAAGAGAAAUGGUUGAGACAUACACCAAGGAUGCCAAAUGAAAUGGAGAAGACCGAAGAGAGUAACUCGUCGUAAAUGGAAGAUAGAGAUAGUGUUUUGAUUAUACAAGCCAGCAGGGUGGUACAGAUGGUUGAUAUGGCACGAAAGCCAAUUGUUUAGCAUAACUCGAUGCCGUAAAGAAUCCCAUUGGAGGUAUUACAAAAACCACUGAAGUUUAACUUAUUUUUCACGAUGGCUACUUCGGUUUCCAGAGUUUAGUCAUCCAUAAUAGAUUAAGAAUGAGGAGCUAUAAGAGACUUUAGAACUCUAUCUUGUAAGCUGGACAACCUUGCAGACUAUUCAAGAUCACCAUAGUAGUUCAUUUUCAGGUUGCUAUAGGAUGGAUUACUGUGCGAAGUCGUUACUACGAGUAAUGACUUCCUCUUUCAUUACUUCAUCUUUUCCCGCCCCUAUCCCUAUCCUCAGAAGUUCUCGAUCACUUAGCUCUUCUGUGUUUUCUUGAAGUGUAAAAUUUGAUCGAGCUUUGGAAGAUACAGAUCGAUCGAACAAAUCAUCGAAGUACUAAUGAUCUUUUCAAAGUCCAUGUAACUUUUUGUGCAUUCUAUCAAACAAUUGGUAGCCUUCAUCUGUGGUAUAUAGUAAAUAUUUACAUAUCAUUGUAAUUUUAAAA